rnacentral:rRNA from 1 species
GACGAACGCUGGCGGCGUGCCUAAUACAUGCAAGUCGAACGCAGUGGGGACGGGUGAGUAAAACGUGGGUAACCUCCCAUCAGAGGGGAUAACACUUGGAAACAGGUGCUAAACCGAUACUGAUGGAUGGACCCGCGGUGCAUUAGCUAGUUGGUGAGGUAACGGCGCACAAAGGCUAGGAUGCAUAGCCGCCCUGAGAGGGUGAUCGCCCACACUGGGACUGGGACACGACCCAGACUCCUACGGGUGGCAGCAGUAGGGAAUCUUCGGCAAUGGACGAAAGUCUGACCGAUCAACGCCGCGUGAGUGAAGAAGGUUUUCGGAUCGUAAAACUCUGUUGUUCGAGAAGCGGUAUCUAACCAGAAAGCCACGGCUAACUACGUGCCAGCAGCCGCGGUAAUAC